rnacentral:lncRNA from 1 species
GGUCGGCAGCUCAAUGGUUAAGGCGCUAUCGCUUACUUCCGGUAUACUUCCGGAAAAUUUGCAUGAAAGUAGCAAGUGAACUUUGUUCUCUGUACAAUUCUAAGGAUUGAAUGCUAGAUUUUAGCUAACAAAAAUGCUUUUUUCAAGUUUUGUGAGUAUCUUAAGACUAGUCCUUCAAAUACUGAGUUUUGAGACGUGUCAAAAAUGUCAAAUAGAUGGCGUGUUCAUUGUGUUAUGGAAUGGCAGUUUGCUGUCAAAAGUUAAGCUAUCCUUUCUUUGACAAUUACCAAUGAAUUCAUAGGAGUUAACGUGAAAGGGUCGUGGCCGUAAUACAGCCUACUGCCUACCGUCAACUAUUAUGUUCAAAAUCAUAGUAUUCUACUGAAUGUGCCAUCGAAAUUAUACAGGAGUCAUAAUUAUCUGCUGUUUGUAUUGGACUUGCUAGAUCACCAACCCCAGCAUAGACCAAUCUCUCAUUUCUUUUUCUCGAGAGAAGAUCUAUGACUGAUUGGUGUUUUCAUGUGUUCUAAACUCUAAAUUUAGUCAUGUCCUUUCAAUAAAGUCAACAAGGUCCCUUGUUUACUAACCUGUUGGCUGCUACCCUUGAAUCUCCCUUUUUACUUUCUUAAGCGGGCCAUCUUUAUUUAAGGGUAUUCCUUCGCUACUUGUCAUGGACUUCAUCCACUGGUGAAAACCGACGAGAGAAUGCAGUAAUCCAAGACUGAUAAAUUGUGUAGUUAGGUUCAAUUACAAGUGCAUAUCUGG